GGGUUGUGAGGUUAAGCGACUAAGCGUACACGGUGGAUGCCCUGGCAGUCAGAGGCGAUGAAGGACGUGCUAAUCUGCGAUAAGCGUCGGUAAGGUGAUAUGAACCGUUAUAACCGGCGAUUUCCGAAUGGGGAAACCCAGUGUGAUUCGUCACACUAUCAUUAACUGAAUCCAUAGGUUAAUGAGGCGAACCGGGGGAACUGAAACAUCUAAGUACCCCGAGGAAAAGAAAUCAACCGAGAUUCCCCCAGUAGCGGCGAGCGAACGGGGAGCAGCCCAGAGCCUGAAUCAGUGUGUGUGUUAGUGGAAGCGUCUGGAAAGGCGCGCGAUACAGGGUGACAGCCCCGUACACAAAAAUGCACAUGCUGUGAGCUCGAUGAGUAGGGCGGGACACGUGGUAUCCUGUCUGAAUAUGGGGGGACCAUCCUCCAAGGCUAAAUACUCCUGACUGACCGAUAGUGAACCAGUACCGUGAGGGAAAGGCGAAAAGAACCCCGGCGAGGGGAGUGAAAAAGAACCUGAAACCGUGUACGUACAAGCAGUGGGAGCCUCUUAAUGGGGUGACUGCGUACCUUUUGUAUAAUGGGUCAGCGACUUAUAUUCUGUAGCAAGGUUAACCGAAUAGGGGAGCCGAAGGGAAACCGAGUCUUAACUGGGCGUUAAGUUGCAGGGUAUAGACCCGAAACCCGGUGAUCUAGCCAUGGGCAGGUUGAAGGUUGGGUAACACUAACUGGAGGACCGAACCGACUAAUGUUGAAAAAUUAGCGGAUGACUUGUGGCUGGGGGUGAAAGGCCAAUCAAACCGGGAGAUAGCUGGUUCUCCCCGAAAGCUAUUUAGGUAGCGCCUCGUGAAUUCAUCUCCGGGGGUAGAGCACUGUUUCGGCAAGGGGGUCAUCCCGACUUACCAACCCGAUGCAAACUGCGAAUACCGGAGAAUGUUAUCACGGGAGACACACGGCGGGUGCUAACGUCCGUCGUGAAGAGGGAAACAACCCAGACCGCCAGCUAAGGUCCCAAAGUCAUGGUUAAGUGGGAAACGAUGUGGGAAGGCCCAGACAGCCAGGAUGUUGGCUUAGAAGCAGCCAUCAUUUAAAGAAAGCGUAAUAGCUCACUGGUCGAGUCGGCCUGCGCGGAAGAUGUAACGGGGCUAAACCAUG
rnacentral:rRNA from 1 species